rnacentral:rRNA from 1 species
CGCGAGAGGGAGGGGCUCUUGGGUCGUAAACCUCUUUUCUCAGGGAAGAACACAAUGACGGUACCUGAGGAAUAAGCAUCGGCUAACUCCGUGCCAGCAGCCGCGGUAAUACGGAGGAUGCAAGCGUUAUCCGGAAUGAUUGGGCGUAAAGCGUCCGCAGGUGGCUGUGUAAGUCUGCUGUUAAAGAGUCUAGCUCAACUAGAUAAGAGCAGUGGAAACUACACGGCUAGAGUACGUUCGGGGCAGAGGGAAUUCCUGGUGUAGCGGUGAAAUGCGUAGAGAUCAGGAAGAACACCGGUGGCGAAGGCGCUCUGCUAGGCCGUAACUGACACUGAGGGACGAAAGCUAGGGGAGCGAAUGGGAUUAGUCCCCGUA